CCCCCCCGAGGGGCGAAGGCAUCUACCAGAACGUUCGACAAUAGGAACGAAAGCUGGGAGCGACGAUUAGAACCCCGUAUGUCAGCGUAACUUGCGUGUCGUAGUGUGCCUGUACUACGAGUUACCCGGGUGCCGAUGGAAACCUGAAACCUGCCGCCUUGGGAAGUACGGUCGCAAGGCUGAAACUUAAAGGAAUUGGCGGGGGAGCACCACAACGGGUGGAGCUUGCGGUUUAAUUGGACUCAACGCCGGGCAGCUCACCGGAUAGGACAGCGGAAUGAUAGCCGGGCUGAAGACCUUGCUUGACCAGCUGAGAGGAGGUGCAUGGCCGUCGUCAGUAAAAACUGUGAAGCAUCCUGUUUAGUCAGGCAACGAGCGAGACCCACGCCAACAGUUGGGAGCAUGUCCUCCGGAAUGAUGAGAAAAAAAGAAGGGACCGCCUCUGCUAAAGAGGAGGAAGAGUAGUUAGUAGAAAAAGGUCAGCAUGCCCCGAAUUAUCCGGGCUACACGCGGGCUACAAUGGUCAGGACAAUGGGAAACGACACAGAAAAGUGUAGUCAAUCUCCCAAACCUGUCCCAAGUUCGGAUUGUGGGCUGCAACUCGCCCACAUGAAGCUGGAAUCCGUAGUAAUCGCGUUUCAAAAUAGCGCGGUAAAUGAAUCCCUGCUCCUUGCACACACCGUAAUCGUACCGGGGGCCCGUGAAUUCGAAGGCCGUAUCGCAGUCCGUGAAGUGAGUCGUAUAGACUGGCGAGAG
rnacentral:rRNA from 1 species